GAGGGUAUAGCUCAGUGGUAGAGCACGUGCUCAGCAUGCGCGAGGUCCUGGGUUCAAUCCCCAGUGCCUCCU
rnacentral:tRNA from 1 species